UUUUACAAUGGAGAGUUUGAUCCUGGCUCAGGAUGAACGCUAGCUACAGGCUUAACACAUGCAAGUCGAGGGGAAACGACAUCGAAAGCUUGCUUUUGAUGGGCGUCGACCGGCGCACGGGUGAGUAACGCGUAUCCAACCUGCCCACCACUUGGGGAUAACCUUGCGAAAGUAAGACUAAUACCCAAUGAUAUCUCUAGAAGACAUCUGAAAGAGAUUAAAGAUUUAUCGGUGAUGGAUGGGGAUGCGUCUGAUUAGCUUGUUGGCGGGGUAACGGCCCACCAAGGCUACGAUCAGUAGGGGUUCUGAGAGGAAGGUCCCCCA
rnacentral:rRNA from 1 species